CUAAGGAUGGUAACUAAUAAGUAAUGAUUGUAUUUGUGUUCUUUUAUUCAUUUUUGUUUUUAGCUCAAACUUUGAAUCUACAAGCUCAGUUACUGGAAAAAAAACAAGUUAGAACUGGACACUUUCCAAACAGUGAAGAAGGUUUUUCCAAACUCAUUCCUAACUGAACGUGAGGAUGAGUUGGCAUUAGGCAUACACAGUCAGUUAUUCAGUCCACCAUCAGACACUGUGUUAAAUUUAAAUUCUGUUAGUGCUGCACUAAAAGAUUUGUUGUAAUCAGUCCAUGCAGUGAUGGAACUGAACAAUUGUGGGACUGUAUUUGGGCUGAAAAUUGGUGUGGUACGGAAACCCAGAAAUUGCACGAGUUCAACAUAAAACAUGGAUUAGAAUUUUAGCGGGGGGUCAAGUCUGGAAGUAUUACAGGAUGGAAGAGUCAGCCUGUAGUUGAAAAAACACUGAGAGUGCAUUACCAUUAAGGUGAGAGGUAAAGUAAUAGAGUUAUGCAUAUUGUCUAAUGAGAAGUACCAUCUUGUGUUAAUGAAUCCGGUACA